rnacentral:rRNA from 1 species
UGGGGAAUCUUGCGCAAUGGGCGAAAGCCUGACGCAGCAACGCCGCGUGCGGGAUGAAGGCCUUCGGGUUGUAAACCGCUUUCAGCAGGGACGAAGAUGACGGUACCUGCAGAAGAAGCCCCGGCCAACUACGUGCCAGCAGCCGCGGUAACACGUAGGGGGCGAGCGUUGUCCGGAUUUAUUGGGCGUAAAGAGCUCGUAGGCGGUUCCGUCAGUCGGGUGUGAAAACUCUGGGCUCAACCCAGAGACGCCACCCGAUACUGCGGUGACUAGAGUCCGGUAGGGGAGUGCGGAAUUCCUGGUGUAGCGGUGAAAUGCGCAGAUAUCAGGAGGAACACCAACGGCGAAGGCAGCACUCUGGGCCGGUACUGACGCUGAGGAGCGAAAGCGUGGGGAGCGAACAGG